GUUUGGAAUCGCACCGGGAAAUUACGCCCUUCCAGGGACGGCAUCAUCGAGAGGACGCUUGACGAGCGCAAUUUUCUUAUGUGCCUGUCAGCAAAUCGCUUAAUCCGUGCUGCGCCCAGUUCCCCAGCCGUUAAAUGGGGAAUGAUUAUCCCCCUAUGAGGGGGUGAGAAUAAUACCCACUAAUGAUGGGGGGGCGGGGGGGGUGCUGGAAGGUGGCCAGGGAGAUGCGCAGUGACACACGGAGGGGCUGCAGGAACACGCCGCAUUUUGAAACCAACCUUUAGAGAUUAAAUCCUCCUCCUCCUGCUCUUUUUUUUUUUUUUUUUUUUNCCCCCCUCUCCGUGCCGGAUUUUAACAGAUUUCUCUGCCGCUCCCCGGGGUGGGGACAUCCCCAGGGCCGGGGGGAAAGAAGAGGAAGAUGCCGACAUGCGCCGGGAAAAGCAUCUGGGGGGAGCCGGGAGAGGUCCCCCCCCGCCCUCUGCCGGACCCCCCCCCGCCUCGGGGACACACGCCGCCUCCUGGGAAUUGUAGUCAUCGCGGGGUGACCUUGGCUCCGCCGGGCGGGGGCGGCCGGUCCUGGGCCGGGGAGCCCGGGGGGGGGGCCCCCGCCGCAUCCCCCGCCCCCGCUCCGCCCCGGGCAAUGGCCGCCCCGGCAGCCGCUGCGGCCCCCCCGGGACCGGACGGGGAGAGGCAGGGAUGCUGCGCGCCAGGCAGGUGUGUUACCAGCCUUGACUGCUCUGCUCUAAAGCCACCAAGGAAGUCAGAGGAACAGGAAACAAAGGGCAUUAAAAGUGCUUUGGAGGAAGGCGUUACCAUGGAGAUGGACAGUUGGGUGGCUUUUUUCCCCCCCCUGCUUUUUUUUUCCCCCGUGCUAUUGGGUCCUUCUCAAACAAACCUGUGUGGUCUUGAUAACAGGACUUCUGUCUGUCUUCCCUUGCGACAGCCCAAAGCUGUAGGGCAUCUGCCUGCUGGGUUUCAUGGUUUCCAUUGCUAAACCUCAGCAUCGAAGUUCAGUGAUCCAUCAACCCUGGGCUGCUCGGAGCAGCUCCCUCCCAGUGGCAGGUACCUCACCGUGACAGGUUUCCCCAUCUCCUGGUCUCUGGGAAACGGAUUUACAGGAGGCAGCUUUAUGGUCUUUGCGCUGCAGGAAUUACUUUCGUAUUCUGGAAAAGCAGUAUCUGCCUUUAAAGUAGGAUUUAGCAUUUCUGGUACAGUCCCAUACUUGCCUACCUGGGUUCACUUUCCUGUGGUGGCCAUUCCUCAGCUGGCACAAUUAAAACAUUUUAAAAUGCAUUAUUCCUUCUAUCAAUGCUUUAUGAAAAUGGCCAGAUGGGCAGAUGGUGUGGAGGCUGUGCAGAACCAAAUCCAUGAGUUGGGGGGGGUCGUGGACUCUCCUGCAGGAGACCUCGGACACGUUUCACCUUUGGCUGCAGCGGAGGGAGGUGAAGAAAGGCUCCAUCUCCAGCAAAGGAGCCACAGAUCCCCAGAAGGACGUUACAGAGAGUGGCUGUUACGUCUCACAGAGGGAACCGCUAACGAGAGAGGCUGAAAAGCAAACCCUCAGGGAUGCUGGAGCUCCCGGGAGGUAGUCCUGAUGAAAGAGCCCGUGUCAGAGGGAGGACUGGGAUGUAGGUCUCAUUGAUGGCCUUACUUCACCCAUCACAUCCAGGCUGCUUCCCUGAAUUCCCCUUGAGCACCUCUUCUCACCUGAUGGAUGACCGAAACGAGGUACCUUCAAUGCCAGAAGACACUUUGCUGCACGAACUCCCAUUUUGCAGACUAUUCCUCUUUUGAGGAAGAGCAGCUGUUCUGAUGAAGCAGACGGACCGUGUGUCCUGAGGAGCAGCAACUGAAAUCCUGCAAGAUCUUCUAAAUGGCUGAGGUGUUUGGAGUCAUGGAAGGGCUUGGGUUGGAAGGGACCUUUAAAGAUCAUCUGGUCCGACCCCCAAAUUUGUUCUUUCACGGUACCAGCCACCUUCCCUCUCCAGAUGAGAGAAUUCCCCCCCUGGGCAGAGGGUCAGUGUAGGCAACUUCCUUUCUCUUGAACACACUUAAACGAAAUGCCGUUGUAUGAAAAAUACUUUCUAGAAAUGGCCAGCACAAGCCCUCCUGCUGCUGUGCGUCGCUCUCGGGGGGGAGGCUGUUUCCAGCUGGUGCUUUACUCUCUCUUUUCAAGACCUCCACAGCAGAAGGAGGUACGUCGUGUCCGAGGUGAUGCUGCUGGAGCUGUGUCCUGUCUGCCCUGAGACACCUUCCUCCCGUUGGCAGGGAGCUGUGCCUGAACUGCCCGGGCAUCCCCUGCUCCUCCUCUGCCUUUCCCCCCCCUCCCACCCACCCUUCUCCAGAACAACAUUAGGAACCGUGACCCCGCAAACACCACCUCACUUUUGGGGUUGGUUUUUUUUGCAGUUUCAGGCAACUGGGCUGUGCACAUGGACCGUCCCCACGGUGGGACUGUAGGUUCAGCUGUGACAAGCUGGGUGUUACUACCACGGGGUGACAGGCACCUCUGCAAGAUAACUCCUGGGUUGCCAUGGUUACAGAUGGAAAAUAGGGCUACGGGUUAACUCAGGCCAGUGUCGCAUGAAGCACAACAUCCCACGUCAUUUUGCGCACACCUGGGACAGCGAAGGCUGGAGCAGCGGCCACCACAAACCCCCGAGUCCCCACCCCGCCCCGAGUUUGUCCAGUAAACUCCCCAAAACUUCCCGAAAUUAAAUCCUUGUGCACAACAGGCUCAGGGAUGGAUCUGGGGUCGGAGGGAAUCAGCCUCCGGCAGAGGACCCCGUCUCAGCCCCAUCCCCCAUUAUAUAUUACUUAUUAGUGCACCCCAAAUGGUAAGGCCUUGGGUAAGCAUGGAUUUUUAGGAGUUUUCACGCUCUGAAUAUUGAAGAGGAAUUCUCAGUCAGGCCUGGACCUCGCCUCCAGACUGUGGUUGCAUCUGGGAAGCAAAGCAGAUCCCUUGGGCUGGACCAGAGGUCAGGAGCUGAUGCAGCCUCUGAUGGAGCAGCCAGUGGUGCCCCCGUUCUGGCAGUCCCGAGCGUCCCCAGAACUUCAUCAUCUCCAGGGCUUGGUGAGAACCUCCCUGGAAAAACAAAGGGACAAAUGAAGCCUGGAGUGACCAAAAAAAAAAAAAAAAGAAAAGAAAAAAGUGCAGAGGUAUCAGUGAAGAGGAGGUAACAGGCCUGCUGGAAGCACCACUCAUGGCUUUGGAAAUACUGUGUCCCUCACUUUGAUGGUCCAGCCCGAAGGAAUGAAAAGUGAUGGUGUGGGAACGGCUCGAAAGAGCAGGAGCUCGUGUCCACGCAGCCAAUGGGCAAAUAAAUUGAAUUCACACCAUUAACGUCA
rnacentral:lncRNA from 1 species